GAUGAACGCUAGCGGCAGGCUUAACACAUGCAAGUCGAGGGGUAUAGGUUUUCGGACCUAGAGACCGGCGCACGGGUGCGUAACGCGUAUGCAAUCUACCUUUUACAGAGGGAUAGCCCAGAGAAAUUUGGAUUAAUACCUCAUAGUAUAAUGAUUCGGCAUCGAGACAUUAUUAAAGUUCCAACGGUAAAGGAUGAGCAUGCGUCCCAUUAGCUAGAUGGUAAGGUAACGGCUUACCAUGGCGACGAUGGGUAGGGGUCCUGAGAGGGAGAACCCCCACACUGGUACUGAGACACGGACCAGACUCCUAGGGGAGGCAGCAGUGAGGAAUAUUGGUCAAUGGGCGCAAGCCUGAACCAGCCAUGCCGCGUGCAGGAUGACGGUCCUAUGGAUUGUAAACUGCUUUUGUACAGGAAGAAACACUGGUUCGUGAACCAGCUUGACGGUACUGUGAGAAUAAGGAUCGGCUAACUCCGUGCCAGCCGCCGCAGUAA
rnacentral:rRNA from 1 species